rnacentral:rRNA from 1 species
UUCCGGUUGAUCCUGCCGGACCCGACUGCUAUUUGGGUGAGAAUAAGCCAUGCGAGUUGAAUGGGAUUCCUAAAUUUCCCAUGGCAAACUGCUCAGUAACACAUGAUCAACUUACCCUAUAGAGAAAAAUAACCUCGGGAAACUGAGGAUAAUAUUACAUAAUUGAAUCGGCUUGGAAAAGUUUUUCAAUCAAAAGGAUAAGAAAAAUGGUUCUUAUUCGCUAUAGGAUAGGAUCGUGGACGAUUAUGGUUGUUGGUGAGGUAACGGCUCACCAAGCCGAUAAUCGAUAGGGGCCGUGAGAGCGGGAGCCCCGAGAUGGGUACUGAGACAACGACCCAGGCCUUACGAGGCGCAGCAGGCGCGGAAACUCCGCAAUACACGAAAGUGUGACGGGGUUACCCAAAGUGUUCAAUUUUGAACUGUGGUAGGUGAGUAAUGUCCCCUACUAGAAAGGAGAGGGCAAGGCUGGUGCCAGCCGCCGCGGUAAAACCAGCUCUUCAAGUGGUCGGGAUAAUUAUUGGGCUUAAAGUGUCCGUAGCCGGUUUAGUAAGUUCCUGGUAAAAUCGGGUAGCUUAACUAUCUGUAUGCUAGGAAUACUGCUAUACUAGAGGGCGGGAGAGGUCUGAGGUACUACAGGGGUAGGGGUGAAAUCUUAUAAUCCUUGUAGGACCACCAGUGGCGAAGGCGUCAGACUGGAACGCGCCUGACGGUGAGGGACGAAAGCCAGGGGAGCGAACCGGAUUAGAUACGUCGGUGCUAUUGCACCAUGCUAAACACCCGGGUAGUCCUGGCCGUAAACGAUGCAUACUAGUGAUGGUGCGGCCAUGAGCCGCAUCAGUGCCGUAGGGAAACCGUUAAGUGUGCCGCCUGGGAAGUACGGUCGCAAGGCUAAAACUUAAAGGAAUUGGCGGGGGAGCUCCCACAAGGGGUGAAGCCUGCGGUUCAAUGGACUCAACGCCGGU